rnacentral:rRNA from 1 species
UGGGGAAUUUUGGACAAUGGGCGAAAGCCUGAUCCAGCAAUGCCGCGUGUGUGAAGAAGGCCUUCGGGUUGUAAAGCACUUUUGUCCGGAAAGAAAUCCUUGGCUCUAAUACAGUCGGGGGAUGACGGUACCGGAAGAAUAAGCACCGGCUAACUACGUGCCAGCAGCCGCGGUAAUACGUAGGGUGCAAGCGUUAAUCGGAAUUACUGGGCGUAAAGCGUGCGCAGGCGGUUUGCUAAGACCGAUGUGAAAUCCCCGGGCUCAACCUGGGAACUGCAUUGGUGACUGGCAGGCUAGAGUAUGGCAGAGGGGGGUAGAAUUCCACGUGUAGCAGUGAAAUGCGUAGAGAUGUGGAGGAAUACCGAUGGCGAAGGCAGCCCCCUGGGCCAAUACUGACGCUCAUGCACGAAAGCGUGGGGAGCAAACAGGAUUAGAUACCCUGGUAGUCCACGCCCUAAACGAUGUCAACUAGUUGUUGGGGAUUCAUUUCCUAGUAACGUAGCUAACGCGUGAAGUUGACCGCCUGGGGAGUACGGUCGCAAG